rnacentral:misc_RNA from 1 species
GUCGUUUUCUUGGACUAGGUAGGAUGCAUCAUAGAAAUAUCCUGUGGUGUCAUUGAUGUUUUGGCAAGAACAAGGGACACUUACAAAAUAGUCUUGUUUGUCUCCGCGGAAAAUGGGGGUGAUCUGGGUUAAGUUUACAUUGUAAAAAGCAGCAACUUGUUCUUGCUGGAGACCUUUGUUGAUAUGGUAGAGUAAAGAAUCACAAGUUUUUAAGGUUGCAGAGCAAUUGAAAGGGUACAUAAAAUCAGCGGCAAAAACCUGAGUCAGUAGAGUUGCCAGUAAAGGGAGGAGACGAGGAAGGAGAAUAUGGGAAGCCAUAGUUGCAGAUAUAAUGGGAUUUUUCUUCAUACAAGUGAAAUUAAUAAGGACUGAAAUUAAGAAUACAUACAAAAGGAUGGAGUUAUCUGGAUAUGGGAUAUUGCAAGAGAAGGUGAUUGUGAUUGGUAUAGAUCAUUGACAUUUUUCUUGUGGCCGGCAGCAUAUUACAUUUUCUCUUUGAUUCUUCCAUCGCUGCCUCGUUUCUAACAAAUUAU